rnacentral:misc_RNA from 1 species
GAUGAAGAACGCAGCGAAAUGCGAUAAGUAAUGUGAAUUGCAGAAUUCAGUGAAUCAUCGAAUCUUUGAACGCACAUUGCGCCCGGUAGUAUUCUGCCGGGCAUGCCUGUCCGAGCGUCAUUACAACCCUCAAGCUCAGCUUGGUGUUGGGCCCCGCCGCCCCGGCGGGCCCUAAAGUCAGUGGCGGUGCCGUCCGGCUCCGAGCGUAGUAAUUCUUCUCGCUCUGGAGGUCCGGUCGUGUGCUCGCCAGCAACCCCCAAUUUUUUUCAGGUUGACCUCGGAUCAGGUAGGGAUACCCGCUGAACUUAAGCAUAUCAAUAAGCGGAGGA